rnacentral:rRNA from 1 species
CGGAGGGAGCUAGCGUUGUUCGGAAUUACUGGGCGUAAAGCGCACGUAGGCGGCGAUUCAAGUCAGAGGUGAAAGCCCGGGGCUCAACCCCGGAACUGCCUUUGAAACUAGAUUGCUAGAAUCCUGGAGAGGUGAGUGGAAUUCCGAGUGUAGAGGUGAAAUUCGUAGAUAUUCGGAAGAACACCAGUGGCGAAGGCGACUCACUGGACAGGUAUUGACGCUGAGGUGCGAAAGCGUGGGGAGCAAACAGGAUU